UCCAUGGCAGGCAGGUUGGGGGUGGGUGAUUUUUAAAGUCCCAUCCAAAUCAUUCCAUGAAACUAAAGCAAGUGAAAUUCCCAAUGGAAGGGGAAAAAAGUUAGGCACUGAGAGCAAGAUACCCAAAGAAGCUGCAGAACCCCAUCAAAAAUCUUAAGAGAUUUUGAUAAUUUGACAAAGUCCAAAACAAUUUACUCAAACUUUGAAGUUAAGCUAGUGUGGAACAGAAUGCUAGAAUUGAUGAAGCUCCAUGGGCUUCUUCCACACUAAAUGAUUCUGUGAUUAGACUGCAAUCAGUAGGAUGUACGCAAAUAAAAUACAGCAAUUUUCUUAGGAAGCUCCGCAAUCCAGUAGUCUAAGCAAAAGGAUCUGGUGCCAUUUGUGAUAUUAUCAAACAAAAGAAUAUGGAAAUACAUGGUAGCAGCAGGUAAAUCAAAGUAUGUUAGCAAGAAUCCAGUGUAUUGGUGCUAGAUUUAUGUUUAGGCAAAGGAAAAACUCUGCUAUGACUAUUAUGAAGAAAUUAAUUCAAACUUCUAAUUAGCGCAGGAGGGGUAGGGUAUGCGUGUGGACUUACAAAUUGAGCUUUAUUCUGAGUACAGCCCUAGACUCGUCAGGUCAAUGAUACUGCAACUGGAAAACAGUCAUAACUUCAAAACAGUUUAAGGAAACAAUUCUUUGCAAAAUGGAAAUACCGCAUGAAAUUUAAGUAUAAAGGAUUAAAAUUGCUCUGACUGAUAAAUGAGUUGACGUGGCACUGAAGACUGAAGGCUGUCAUUUUCCAGUGGAAGUUUCCCUGGGCAGUUCUGUGAAACAGACUUAACCGUUCUACUCAUUGCCUCUAGUCCUUGCAAUUACUAGAGGCAACAAAGCAAAUUAGGAAGAGUGGCAGUUGUCAAUUAAUAUUGAUUUAUUUUCAAUUAUUUUAAUUUUCAUGCUUACUUAGUUUCAUAAUUCCCUUAAUGUGUUUAAAAAUGACAUUUCUUUUCAAUCUUCCUUAAAUAAAAGCAGGAUCUUUUUUCA
rnacentral:lncRNA from 1 species